GAGCGGAGCAAGAGAAGAGAAUGUCUGCGGAGGAGAUACCGGACGAGCUAUGGAGGAAGGUACUAGAGAUUGGCGUAAAGUCAUCGACUUUCUCCUACAAAGAUCUCUGCUGCAUCUCCAUCUCCUCUCGCCGUCUCUGCCGACUAUCCUCCGAAGAUUGCCUCUGGAACUUUCUGCUCGCCAUUGAUUUCCCCACCCACACCGACUCUACUUCUUCUUCCUCUUCUGAAUCUCCCACCAAGUUUAUCUACAGGACAAGGUUUGAGAGGGAGAAGGAGAGGAGGUUAGCUGCUCAUAGAAGAUCUCUGCUGAGGAAGGAGAGCGAGAUUUCGGAGUGGGGCAGGAGGAUUCGUGAAUUGGAGAGGAGGUUAUCUGAGGAGGCAGAGAGGUUGCAGGCUGCUUCUGUUGAGUUUUCAAAUCUACAGAGAGUCAGGCAAGCAUCAGUAGCUUUGAACGUUUGGCAGCCAGAGGUUGUCCGUGGCAGACAGAAACAGAUGGUUGAGCAAAACGCUGUUCCUGUGGAGGGACGGUUGCGUGCGCUUGAGAUGGAGAUUAAGUUAUGCAAACAGCAAAUCACCGGUGUGAACAGGGCACGUAGGGAGGUGAAGCAACGAUUUGACAUGGCUAGGAAAGAGCUGGAAUCCAUGAAGUAUCAUCCUUUACGAGAUUAUAAGUCUAUACGUAGUGGAGACCAAGAAAGUAGUGCCAAGAGGAAGAAGUUGAAAACGAGCAUUAACUCAGUUCCGGCUAAAAACCCACCAAGACCCAGUAACAAAAAGAAGCUGUUACAUUCAGAAUCAGAAUGAUGAUUGGCUGAACCAUUCAGCAAGACCCAGAGACAAAAAGAUGCUGUGUGUGACGUGACACUCAGAAUCAGAAUGAUGGUUGGCUGAACCAUUCCACAGAGAGACAGAUAGAGAACGCUAACACUUAUAUCAUCUUCAGUGGUUUUGGGAGGAAAAAUGAUAUCUCAAGAGAUUUGGGGGGUUUGCGAGUGUAAAUAAAUACUGUUGAAGGAGAGAGUGUACGUGGUGUGCAAGGGACAGUGAGUGAUUAGGGUCCACAAAUUGGCGCGAAUUCCAUGGGGAUGAAUGAAGAAAA